UGGUUCUGGCAUNGAUGAAGAACGCAGCGAAAUGCGAUAAGUAAUGUGAAUUGCAGAAUUCAGUGAAUCAUCGAAUCUUUGAACGCACAUUGCGCCCGGUAGUAUUCUACCGGGCAUGCCUGUUCGAGCGUCAUUUCAAACCCUCAAGCCCUGUUGCUUGGCGUUGGGACUCUGCGGUUAUAGCAGUUCCCCAAAUUCAGUGGCGGAGUCGGUUAGCACUCUGAGCGUAGUAAUCAUAUCCUCGCUUGCGAUUGUGACCGGCACCUAGCCGUUAAACACCCCAAUUCUUUAGGUUUGACCUCGGAUCAGGUAGGAAUACCCGCUGA
rnacentral:misc_RNA from 1 species